rnacentral:rRNA from 1 species
UACGAAGGGGGCUAGCGUUGUUCGGAAUCACUGGGCGUAAAGCGCACGUAGGCGGACUCUUAAGUCGGUGGUGAAAUCCUGGAGCUCAACUCCAGAACUGCCUUCGAUACUGGGAGUCUCGAGUUCGGGAGAGGUGAGUGGAACUGCGAGUGUAGAGGUGAAAUUCGUAGAUAUUCGCAAGAACACCAGUGGCGAAGGCGGCUCACUGGCCCGAUACUGACGCUGAGGUGCGAAAGCGUGGGGAGCAAACAGG